GACGAACGCUGGCGGCGUGCUUAACACAUGCAAGUCGAACGGAAAGGCCCUGCUUUUGUGGGGUGCUCGAGUGGCGAACGGGUGAGUAACACGUGAGUAACCUGCCCUUGACUUUGGGAUAACUUCAGGAAACUGGGGCUAAUACCGGAUAGGAGCUCCUGCUGCAUGGUGGGGGUUGGAAAGUUUCGGCGGUUGGGGCUGGACUCGCGGCUUAUCAGCUUGUUGGUGGGGUAGUGGCUUACCAAGGCUUUGACGGGUAGCCGGCCUGGGAGGGUGACCGGCCACAUUGGUACUGAGGUACGGCCCAGACUCCAUCGGGAGGCAGCAGUGGGGAAUAUUGCGCAAUGGGCGGAGGCCUGAUGCAGCAACGCCGCGUGCGGGAUGAAGGCCUUCGGGUUGUAAACCGCUUUCGCCUGUGACGAAGCGUGAGUGACGGUAAUAGGUAAAGAAGCACCGGCUAACUACGUG
rnacentral:rRNA from 1 species